CCUACGCAAGUAGAGAGGAAGGAGGGGACGACGUCAAGUCAUCAUGGCCCUUACGCCUAGGGCUACACACGUGCUACAAUGGGCGGUACAGAGGGUAGCUACCUGGUAACAGGAUGCCAAUCUCGAAAACCGUUCACAGUUCGGAUUGGGGUCUGCAACUCGACCCUAUGAAGCUGGAAUCGCUAGUAAUCGCGUAUCAGCAAUGACGCGGUGAAUACGUUCCCGGACCUUGUACACACCGCCCGUCAAGCCAUGAAAG
rnacentral:rRNA from 1 species